AUUGAACGCUGGCGGCAUGCCUUACACAUGCAAGUCGAACGGCAGCACGGGUGCUUGCACCUGGUGGCGAGUGGCGAACGGGUGAGUAAUAUAUCGGAACGUACCUUAUUGUGGGGGAUAACGCAGCGAAAGCUGUGCUAAUACCGCAUAAUCCCUAAGGGGGAGAGCGGGGGACCGUAAGGCCUCGCGCAAUUAGAGCGGCCGAUACCUGAUUAGCUAGUUGGUGAGGUAAAGGCUCACCAAGGCAACGAUCAGUAGCUGGUCUGAGAGGACGAUCAGCCACACUGGGACUGAGACACGGCCCAGACUCCUACGGGAGGCAGCAGUGGGGAAUUUUGGACAAUGGGGCAACCCUGAUCCAGCAAUGCCGCGUGAGUGAAGAAGGCCUUCGGGUUGUAAAGCUCUUUUGUCAGGGAAGAAACAGCAGCUCUAACACAGUAUGCGAAUGACGGUACCUGAAGAAUAAGCACCGGCUAACUACGUGCCAGCAGCCGCCGUAA
rnacentral:rRNA from 1 species